GAAAUGAUAGCUAAUACCGGAUUAAAUAUAGAUUCGUUUCUAUAUUAAAAGGAGCCUUUAAAGCUUCGCUUAAAGAUGGGCCUGCGGCGUAUUAGCUAGUUGGUGAGGUAAUGGCUUACCAAGGCGACGAUGCGUAGCCGAAUUGAGAGGUUGAUCGGCCACAUUGGGACUGAGACACGGCCCAGACUCCUACGGGAGACAGCAGUUAGGAAUAUUCGUCAAUGGGGGAAACCCUGAACGAGCAAUGCCGCGUGAACGAUGAAGGCCCUAUGGGUUGUAAAGUUCUGUUGCAUGGGACGAACGGCUAGGAUAGGAAAUGAUCUUAGUGUGACGGUACCAUGCCAGAAAGCUCCGGCUAACUACGUGCCAGCAGCCGCGGUAAUACGUAGGGAGCGAGCGUUAUCCGGAUUUAUUGGGCGUAAAGGGUGCGUAGGCGGUUUGUUAAGUAUGAGAUUAAAGCCUGAGGCUUAACCUCAGUUCGUUUCAUAAACUGGCAGACUUGAGUAUGGCAGAGGUAAACGGAAUUUCUAGUGUAGCGGUUAAAUGCGUAGAUAUUAGAAGGAACACCAGUGGCGAAGGCGGUUUACUGGGCCAUAACUGACGCUGAGGCACGAAAGCGUGGGGAGCAAAUAGGAUUAGAUACCCUAGUAGUCCACGCCGUAAACGAUGAGUACUAAGUGUUGGG
rnacentral:rRNA from 1 species